ACGGGUGAGUAACGCGUGGGAACAUACCUCUUGGUUCGGAACAACACAGGGAAACUUGUGCUAAUACCGGAUAAGCCCUUACGGGGAAAGAUUUAUCGCCGAGAGAUUGGCCCGCGUCUGAUUAGCUAGUUGGUGGGGUAAAGGCCUACCAAGGCGACGAUCAGUAGCUGGUCUGAGAGGAUGAUCAGCCACAUUGGGACUGAGACACGGCCCAAACUCCUACGGGAGGCAGCAGUGGGGAAUAUUGGACAAUGGGCGCAAGCCUGAUCCAGCCAUGCCGCGUGAGUGAUGAAGGCCCUAGGGUUGUAAAGCUCUUUUGUACGGGAAGAUAAUGACGGUACCGUAAGAAUAAGCCCCGGCUAACUUCGUGCCAGCAGCCGCGGUAAUACGAAGGGGGCUAGCGUUGCUCGGAAUCACUGGGCGUAAAGGGUGCGUAGGCGGGUUUUUAAGUCAGAGGUGAAAUCCUGGAGCUCAACUCCAGAACUGCCUUUGAUAUUGAAAGUCUUGAGUAUGGGAGAGGUGAGUGGAACUGCGAGU
rnacentral:rRNA from 1 species